rnacentral:tRNA from 1 species
GGGAAGUUGGCUCAGUGGUAGAGCACUUGCCUCAUAUGCAUGAGGCCCUGGGUUCGAUUCCUUAGCAUCACA